AUACGGAGGGUGCGAGCGUUAAGCGGAAUUACUGGGCGUAAAGCGUGCGUAGGCGGUUUGCUAAGUCAGAUGUGAAAGCCCCGGGCUUAACCUGGGAACUGCAUUUGAUACUGGCAGACUAGAGUAUGAUAGAGGGGGGUAGAAUUCCUGGUGUAGCGGUGAAAUGCGUAGAUAUCAGGAGGAAUACCAGUGGCGAAGGCGGCCCCCUGGAUCAAUACUGACGCUGAGGUACGAAAGCGUGGGGAGCGAACAGGAGUAGAAACCCUAGUAGUCC
rnacentral:rRNA from 1 species